GGGAAACGUAGGCAGUGAGUCAUGAUGUAGGACAGGAGAGGAGUAACGUGUCUCCCGACCUUUCUCUGAUGUAGAACGCUCGGCUGCUUGCUUGUAGAACUCAUGCCACCAUGCUUCCCACCACAAUGACGAUGGACUAAAGCUCUGAACUGUCUCCAAUCACUGGCUGUGGGGCUUGCCCAUCUCAUUCAGACAAAGCACACCCAGACCGGACCCUGUGACCUGGGCUCACCUGGGCAGGAUCCACAUCAUUGAGCAUAACUACCGACGUGCAGUGAUAAUCCAAGACCAGUCGCCAGAAGUCUUUGACAGUGUUUGGCAAAGGAUGCUGGGUGACAAUGAACGCUGAAGGCUGUUUAUAGCUCUGCGUACAGAAACAAGAAAGAUGCAGACACACUCAGUGCAGCAGAGUCAUUUUGUGCACAUGGAGAUGGUUGGCACAAAACAAGGAACGUAUUUAGUGACUGUUGAAUUCUAUCGCCAUUGUCAAUGCCAAAAUGGACUGAAUGUAAGCUUUUCUGUGAAAUUAUUAUGAAACAUUCUCACCUUAAUACCAUUGGAACUUCCAUAAUCAUUUCUUACCGUUUUUGUUAUGUUUCUGACAGGCAAUAUUGGCUCUCCACAUUAAUAAUUUUAGUGGAGAAAGUUUCAUCAGUUGACUUUAAAAACUAAGUACAAGAAAGUAAUUCUGUUUUUUCCAAAAUUUGUUUGCUUGUCAUUUAUUUGGGAGACAGUGUUGCUUAUCUCUGCUGUAAAAGAUGCAGGAGCUUUUGUCUGCUCCAGAGGCUUUAAAGGAGCUUAAGCCCCCGUCAUGGUAUCACACCAACAGAAUUAAAACUUACACAUUA